GGGCCUGUCCGAGCCGGCCGAGAUUUUUUAUGGGCACGCCAUCUCUAUAAUUUCGUGUUCAAUGGCGAGUUUCAUAAUGAAUGCGAGAAACGCAUCUAUGGAGUGGCAGUACCCGUGGUUUGAAGUUUCCUGUCUGGCUGUCUCUAUGCUCUGGCUAUCCUCCAUGUUCCUGCUCCAAUUUUCAUUCGAGUCAUAUGCACGAAGAGUUAGGCUUUCGAAAUCCGUCAACUGUCAAAUGACAAGUAGUAGCAGCAGCAGCAGUAGUAGUUGUAGUAGCAGUAGUAGCUGAAGGCAGGUGGUAGGUGAGAGAAUCACAAUGGCAGCCGAAAUCAAGCCCGCGCCCGGGAUGAACCAGGACAAGUUCAGCUCCAAGAAGCCUAUACUUCUGUCGAAGCUCGAGGGUUGCAAUGACGACGUCAAUGCCGCCGUUAUCAUUCCCAGGGUUGACGGCGUCAUCAGCGUCUGCGACGACAGAACUGUCAGAGUUUGGUUGAAACGUGACUCAGGACAAUACUGGCCAAGCGUAUGCAUGUACAUGGUUGCAGCACCAACCUCUCUUGAUUUUUGUCCUGAAACCAGACAGCUGUUUGUUGGAUUAGAUAAUGGAGUUUUUAUUGGAAAGCGAUUACAAUCGUAUGACAGCCAUUCGAGAAUACAUGGCUCAUCAAGCAAGAGUUGCUGCAGUAGUUUUUUCUUUGAGCUGUGAAUGGGUACUUAGUAUAGGUAGAGACAAAUUGUUCCAGUUCCACAGUACUGAAAAUGGAAAGGAUCACAUCAAAUAAUAUGUUCAAUAAUCCAAAAGGUAACGUCUACAAAAAGUUGCUGUACCACAUGCAUGGAACAUACACCUACAACAUGAUUUUGUUAUAAACUCCACGUCGUCUGAAGAAAUUUGUAGUUCAUGACUCAGAUAUGGAUCAAGCCAACUCAUCUCAUUAUACAAUUCCCAGGUCACUUCGGGUUUUCUUUCUGAUCCAGAUGGCUGUUUCUACACAAUAUGGAGGAGUCUUUUGGAAGAAAUAUAAAUCUCGAUAAAAAAAUUUGUGUUUAUUUGAAAAAUUAUUCAUGUUUGUAUGAUAAAACACAUGAAAACUAUUAUUUAAUAAAAGUCAAAGAUAAGGCUUUCAAUGAAAUAGCUGCUAAAAUUAAUUCUGACAAAGAGUUAAAUGUCCUAUUGACUGGUGCUAUUGUAAGAAAGGAAUGGGAAAAUAUAAGAAGGACUUUUGUUAGAAAAUUUAACAAACCUCAUUUAAGCAAGUACUACUUAUACAAUGAACUUCAAUUUCUCAUCCCUCACGUCAUGAAAAAAUACCAGUGUUUGGGAUCAACAGAAAGUGAUGAGCCGUCAACAUCAAAAACUCAAGAUAUUGAAGUAUGUAGUGAAAAGAAUGAUAAAAUCAUUCCACCAGUAAGCCAAUGUUACUUUAAUAAGAAAACUCAUCUCGAAGAAUUAGAAAUGAAAGUUUUAAAAAAUACAAGUACAGCUAUGGAAAAUAUAAACAUUUUAAUGAAGGAUAGUGAUAAUGAAGAGAUUAAAGAUAAUUUUGUACUAUGUAUACAGCAAAGUUUGCAGUAUGUCCCAUCAACCCAUGUGUUGGAAUGUGUUAAUGGGAUAUUAACUAUUAUGGAUAAGUUUAUGAUAUCUAAUGAAGAAUAAAUAUUAAAAAUAAAGACUAA